rnacentral:lncRNA from 1 species
CCAGGCCGGCCCCUCCAUCCUCACUCCUUCCUUAAACCCCCCAUAACCCUUGUUCCUUUCCCUUCCCUCUAGCUACUCUUGCAGUCCCGCUCCUCUUCUCCAGGCCUCCCCGGCUCCAAACACAGACGGCGAGGAGGCGCCGGAGCUAGCUGCCGUCGCGGCGAGAGGGGGCGGAAGCUCUGUCUCCACCUCUUCCGCCCCCUCUCGCCGGCGUCGAUCAAACUGCCUCUGCAGGUAAGACCCCGGCAGCUCUUUUAAUCCAAAGAACCUCACCAAGCAUGAUGCAGUGAUUAGUUAGCUAGCCUGCUGUGUUCGUUUUGAUCCCUUAAUUACUUCUCUUAAGCCACCAGUAGACUACUGAACGCUGCUAGCUGAUGAAGCUAAGCAUACGGAGACCUCUUCUUUUUCUUGCUUGCCUGACUUGACCAUGGCGCCGGCUUAAGACUUUAAGAGCAUGGCUGCCACACCAGCCAUGGUGGUCUCCGUUCUCUGAGAGAGAGAGGGAGAGGAGACGGAGGAGCAGGCGGUGGCGUGUGUAUGGCGCGAGCCACAGACGCGUACACGUACGUACGUGUCAGCAGGCGCAGCGGGGGCGGGCGAGGGUCUCUCUACAGCUGGCUCCCGGGUGGACAUCUAGCUACGUCGGCGACCGGAUUAAUUAGACGUGACCCGACCCCGACCAGACCUGCGCUUAAUUAAGCGCCAGGGUGGUUGAUUAGGCGCCGGAUAUGUAUGUAUGCAUAGUUGCAUACGAACAUAAACAAACGCCCCGGCCCGUGAUUGCGUCGCGACGAGGCAAGUACGCAGGAGCAUUCAUUACGGCUGGUAGACCAGUGACAAAACGUACUCUCAUUACAAACAAACAGUAAUACUUUCGACAAAAGAAAAAAAAAGGUAACAGUGAGUGCAGUAGUACGCCGGUACUACCGUGGCAUGGAGACAUGAGGGAAAGCCCUACCGCUCGAGCGCCUAGCGCGCGCGUGCAUGCGUUGCUAGUUGACAAAUUCGUCAAGCAUCUUUUCUGUUACCAGCAUCGCAUCAUCGACGGGACAAAGCGUCUUGUCCUUUCUUCUUUCCCAGCUUCCUUCCACACUUCACCCACCUGCCACCCCCUUUUCUCGUCUCAUUUCAUCUCAGAUAAACCAAAAAAGGAAAGUGUACCAGGCCAUGCAUCGAUACAAAGCCCAUAAUACCUUUACGGCAAAAAAAAAGUGAAACCAAAGCUAGCCAAUGAAACGACAGAAAUCAAAGUAAUUUCCCCGGUGUAAACAGUAGGACUAUGCCACUAGAGUUGCCUUACUGCUUUCCAAAUGGAAUGAUCAAGGCAGGUGGGCUAACUUUGACAGGGUCCAAAUAAGCCCAUUGCUCCUGUACCUAGUCAAUGGGCCUGUAGCCCGAUGGAAUCCCCGGAAUGGUGCACAAAUGGAAGAGAGCUGCGGGUACAGCAAUGCCACUGCACGUUUGUCUCAAAAAAAAAAAGCAAUGCCACUGCACGCUGGCCACCCUGAACAAAAUAUAUUAGCUGGCGCCUUGUUGUCUUCCUUCCCUUCCUUCCCAACCGACGGAUGGGGCCCCCUAACUGGCCCGGACGUGAUGACGAAGUGUACUCCUGUGCUACGCCUACCUAUGUGGUACUCAUACUACUAGUUGAUCAUCACAAGCCAGAGGCUACACGCGCAAGGACAUCGAUCACGUUUGUUUGAUUGUUUCUACAGUUGGAUCGAUCGAUGGAGAUUGAUCAUCGUUGCCUACCGCGUUUGUACAAAUAUUGUGCUGUAAAGUGUACACUCUCCUAGUAUUAUCGUACACAUGUUUUAUAUUGUUGUUUUUGCUGCCUGUGCUACCCCCUCUGUUCGGGUUUGUAAGGCAUGCACUUAUUUCUUUUUAAAGAAAAUGAUCAUUAAUCUGGCAAUCAAUGUCACACAAAUUAUAAUUUGAAUCUGAAUUUAAUGGUAUGAUUUUGUGGCAUACAUACAACUAAUAUUUUUAUUAAUCAAAUUAAUGUUCUAUUCUUUUAAUAAUAUUUGUGGGUCUUACAAGCUCGAACGAAUGGAGGGGGUGUUUGGUUCAGGGACUUUUUAGUUCCAAAGACUAGAAAAAGUCCCUAAAAAGUCCCUAGGAACCAAAUGGGAGGGACUUUUUCUACAUGGACUAGAAAAAGACUCUAUUGAGAGUCUUUUUUGAUUAGUCCCUGGGACUAGAAAAAGUCCUACGACUUCUGAAACAAACACCCCCGGAGUGGUUACAAUGAAGUAAAUCGAGAAAGUAUAGGUAAAGUGCAGCGAUUCGGUGCCCAGGUGCAAACAGUAAUCAUUUAAAAUAGUAACCCAAGAUACUUGAAUGCAUGAUGUGCGUGCAAAAAUCCGUGAUGUUUGAACAUUCGAGGUGGUCGUGGCAAAAAAAAUGUAUGUGAAAGAAACUAUGAAAAUAUACACUAUUUGGGCCCAAUAUUUUCCUAUAGCUCCUCGAAUGUCCAAAACCC